rnacentral:rRNA from 1 species
UACGUAGGCAGCAAGCGUUGUUCGGAGUUACUGGGCGUAAAGGGUGUGUAGGCGGUUCUUUAAGUUUGGUGUGAAGUCUCCCGGCUCAACUGGGAGGGUGCGCCGAAUACUGAGGGACUAGAGUACGGGAGAGGAAAGUGGAAUUCCUGGUGUAGCGGUGAAAUGCGUAGAUAUCAGGAGGAACACCGGUGGUGUAGACGGCUUUCUGGACCGUAACUGACGCUGAGACACGAAAGCGUGGGUAGCAAACAGG